rnacentral:rRNA from 1 species
AGUGAACGCUGGCGGUAGGCCUAACACAUGCAAGUCGAACGGCAGCACAGUAAGAGCUUGCUCUUACGGGUGGCGAGUGGCGGACGGGUGAGGAAUACAUCGGAAUCUACUUUUUCGUGGGGGAUAACGUAGGGAAACUUACGCUAAUACCGCAUACGACCUACGGGUGAAGGCAGGGGACCUUCGGACCUUGCGCGAUUGAUUGAGCCGAUGUCGGAUUAGCUAGUUGGCGGGGUAAAGGCCCACCAAGGCGACGAUCCGUAGCUGGUCUGAGAGGAUGAUCAGCCACACUGGAACUGAGACACGGUCCAGACUCCUACGGGAGGCAGCAGUGGGGAAUAUUGGACAAUGGGCGCAAGCCUGAUCCAGCCAUACCGCGUGGGUGAAGAAGGCCUUCGGGUUGUAAAGCCCUUUUGUUGGGAAAGAAAAGCAGCAGGUUAAUACCCCGCUGUUCUGACGGUACCCAAAGAAUAAGCACCGGCUAACUUCGUG